rnacentral:lncRNA from 1 species
CACAUCUUUUAUUCAAUUUUUCUUUCUUUAAUUCGAGAUGUUCGUGCAAAGCUGAAUAAUUUUCUAAUGCCAAAACUUGUGACAAUAAGCGCUUGAGCUACAAUUCCCCGCAGCUUCGAGUGCUAGGGGCAGGCAAGUCAUGUGAGGUGGGAGCCGCCACUUGAUAUGGGCAUGGUCUCUAACAAUUUAUUGGUUCGGCUA